GACGAACGCUGGCGGCGUGCUUAACACAUGCAAGUCGAACGGAAAGGCCCUGCUUUUGUGGGGUGCUCGAGUGGCGAACGGGUGAGUAACACGUGAGUAACCUGCCCUUGACUUUGGGAUAACUUCAGGAAACUGGGGCUAAUACCGGAUAGGAGCUCCUGCUGCAUGGUGGGGGUUGGAAAGUUUCGGCGGUUGGGGAUGGACUCGCGGCUUAUCAGCUUGUUGGUGGGGUAGUGGCUUACCAAGGCUUUGACGGGUAGCCGGCCUGAGAGGGUGACCGGCCACAUUGGGACUGAGAUACGGCCCAGACCCCUACGGGAGGCAGCAGUGGGGAAUAGUGCACAAUGGGCGGAAGCCUGAUGCAGCAACGCCGCGUGCGGGAUGACGGCCAUCGGGUUGUAAACCGCUUUCGCCUGUGACGAAGCGUGAGUGACGGUAAUGGGUAAAGAAGCACCGGCUAACUACGUG
rnacentral:rRNA from 1 species